UAGUCCACACCGUAAACGCUGUCUACUAGCUGUUUGUGAGUUUAACUCGUGAGUAGCGAAGCUAACGCGCUAAGUAGACCGCCUGGGGAGUACGGUCGCAAGAUUAAAACUCAAAUGAAUUGACGGGGGCCCGCACAAGCGGUGGAGCAUGUGGUUUAAUUCGAAGAUACGCGCAGAACCUUACCAACACUUGACAUGUUCGUCGCGACUUUAAGAGAUUAAAGUUUUCGGUUCGGCCGGACGAAACACAGGUGCUGCAUGGCUGUCGUCAGCUCGUGUCGUGAGAUGUUCGGUUAAGUCCGGCAACGAGCGCAACCCACAUCUUUAGUUGCCAGCAGUUCGGCUGGGCACUCUAAAGAAACUGCCCGUGAUAAGCGGGAGGAAGGUGUGGAUGACGUCAAGUCCUCAUGGCCCUUACGGGGUUGGGGCUACACACGUGCUACAAUGGGCAGUGACAAU
rnacentral:rRNA from 1 species